AGGGGUAUCGCCAAGCGGUAAGGCACCGGCUUUUGAUGCCGGCAUUCGUUGGUUCAAAUCCAGCUACCCCUGCCA
rnacentral:tRNA from 1 species